GAUGAACGCUGGCGGCGUGCCUAAUACAUGCAAGUCGAGCGAACAGACGAGGAGCUUGCUCCUCUGACGUUAGCGGCGGACGGGUGAGUAACACGUGGAUAACCUACCUAUAAGACUGGGAUAACUUCGGGAAACCGGAGCUAAUACCGGAUAAUAUAUUGAACCGCAUGGUUCAAUAGUGACAGACGGUUUUGCUGUCCCUUAUAGAUGGAUCCGCGCCGCAUUAGCUAGUUGGUAAGGUAACGGCUUACCAAGGCAACGAUGCGUAGCCGACCUGAGAGGGUGAUCGGCCACACUGGAACUGAGACGCGGUCCAGACUCCUACGGGAGGCAGCAGUAGGGAAUCUUCCGCAAUGGGCGGAAGCCUGACGGAGCAACGCCGCGUGAGUGAUGAAGGUCUUCGGAUCGUAAAACUCUGUUAUUAGGGAAGAACAAAUGUGUAAGUAACUAUGCACGUCUUGACGGUACCUAAUCAGAAAGCCACGGCUAACUACGUG
rnacentral:rRNA from 1 species